rnacentral:rRNA from 1 species
CCUACGGGCGGCAGCAGUGGGGAAUAUUGGACAAUGGGCGAAAGCCUGAUCCAGCCAUGCCGCGUGUGUGAAGAAGGCCUUCGGGUUGUAAAGCACUUUCAGUGGGGAAGAAAGCCUUGGGGCUAAUACCCUCGAGGAAGGACAUCACCCACAGAAGAAGCACCGGCUAACUCCGUGCCAGCAGCCGCGGUAAUACGGAGGGUGCGAGCGUUAAUCGGAAUUACUGGGCGUAAAGCGCGCGUAGGCGGUCUGAUAAGCCGGUUGUGAAAGCCCCGGGCUCAACCUGGGAACGGCAUCCGGAACUGUCAGGCUAGAGUGCAGGAGAGGAAGGUAGAAUUCCCGGUGUAGCAGUGAAAUGCGUAGAGAUCGGGAGGAAUACCAGUGGCGAAGGCGGCCUUCUGGACUGACACUGACGCUGAGGUGCGAAAGCGUGGGUAGCAAACAGGAUUAGAUACCCGGGUAGUC